AUUGAACGCUGGCGGCAGGCCUAACACAUGCAAGUCGAGCGGAUGAAGAGAGCUUGCUCUCUGAUUUAGCGGCGGACGGGUGAGUAAUGCCUAGGAAUCUGCCUGGUAGUGGGGAUAACGUCCGGAAACGGGCGCUAAUACCGCAUACGUCCUACGGGAGAAAGCAGGGGACCUUCGGGCCUUGCGCUAUCAGAUGAGCCUAGGUCGGAUUAGCUAGUUGGUGAGGUAAUGGCUCACCAAGGCUACGAUCCGUAACAGGUCUGAGAGGAUGAUCAGUCACACUGGAACUGAGACACGGUCCAGACUCCUACGGGAGGCAGCAGUGGGGAAUAUUGGACAAUGGGCGAAAGCCUGAUCCAGCCAUGCCGCGUGUGUGAAGAAGGUCUUCGGAUUGUAAAGCACUUUAAGUUGGGAGGAAGGGCAGUAAGUUAAUACCUUGCUGUUUUGACGUUACCGACAGAAUAAGCACCGGCUAACUUCGUGCCAGCCGCCGCAGUAAAAC
rnacentral:rRNA from 1 species